rnacentral:rRNA from 1 species
CCUACGGGAGGCAGCAGUGGGGGAUAUUGCACAAUGGGGGGAACCCUGAUGCAGCGACGCCGCGUGGGUGAAGAAGCGCCUCGGCGCGUAAAGCCCUGUCAGCAGGGAAGAAAAUGACGGUACCUGAAGCAGAAGCCCCGGCUAACUACGUGCCAGCAGCCGCGGUAAUACGCAGGGGGCAAGCGUUAUCCGGAUUUACUGGGUGUAAAGGGGGCGCAGACGGCGAUGCAAGCCAGGAGGGAAAGCCCGGGGCCCAACCCCGGGACUGCUCUUGGAACUGCGUGGCUGGAGUGAGGGAGGGGCAGGCGGAAUUCCUGGUGUAGCGGUGAAAUGCGUAGAUAUCAGGAGGAACACCGGUGGCGAAGGCGGCCUGCUGGACUGCAACUGACGUUGAGGCCCGAAAGCGUGGGGAGCAAACAGGAUUAGAUACCCGUGUAGUC